rnacentral:rRNA from 1 species
UACGUAGGGUGCGAGCGUUGUCCGGAAUUAUUGGGCGUAAAGAGCUCGUAGGCGGUUUGUCGCGUCUGCUGUGAAAACCUAAGGCUCAACUCCGGACUUGCAGUGGGUACGGGCAGACUAGAGUGUGGUAGGGGAGACUGGAAUUCCUGGUGUAGCGGUGAAAUGCGCAGAUAUCAGGAAGAACACCCGUGGCGAAAGCGGCUCUCUGGAACGGUACUGACGCUGAGACGCGAAAGCGUGGGGAGCGAACAGG